rnacentral:rRNA from 1 species
UACGUAGGGACCGAGCGUUGUCCGGAAUCAUUGGGCGUAAAGGGUGCGUAGGUGGCGCGCUAAGUCAGGUGUGAAAUUUCGGAGCUUAACUCCGAAACUGCAUUUGAUACUGGCGUGCUUGAGGACUGGAGAGGAGACUGGAAUUUACGGUGUAGCAGUGAAAUGCGUAGAGAUCGUAAGGAAGACCAGUGGCGAAGGCGGGUCUCUGGACAGUUACUGACACUGAGGCACGAAGGCCAGGGGAGCAAACGGG